rnacentral:misc_RNA from 1 species
GACGUAAUUAGACUCGAGCACUGUGAUCAAUAAUAUGCUACAAUCAAGAACACGUGUGAAAUCGAGGCGAUAUUAAUCUAUUGCGACUAAUGCUAAUCAAACAAACGUCAUCGUCUUCCUUCAAACUCUGCACAACGUACAAGUUUUUCAAAUUACAAGCUACCCACUUGAUAUUUUCGUCGCAAUUCCAUCAGCCUUUGCUAUGCAGAGAAAACGACUAGCUUCGUUAAUAAUACGUUACGACCGAAAAAACGUGAGAGAUCAAGGCGAGCCUAAUCUAUUACAUCACGACCAACCGGAUGAACGUUCGUUUUCUUUCAAAUCCCACGCGAAAUAGCAGAGCAUCGCUCAUCGAGGGACCAAUUGGAUACUCGACGACGCAAUUAGAUGUGACCACAUCCACCGAUAUUACAGUUGAAAAUUAUGAAUCUUAGUCGUAGAAAUAAAUGUAUAGGAACACUCACAUUACACGCGGAAAUGAUAUUAAAAUAGUUUCAUAUUUAUUUAAUAUGUGAUUUACAAGAUAUUCGUGGAUAUACAUUGCACUCGUCUCAGCACUCUUUUUGUUUCACCAUCUUUCUAUCACUAUGCGUACAGAACAGUUGCGUUGAG